UUGCUUUGGUGGCACAUAUCCUAAAAUUAGAAUGACACAGGGAAGAUUAGCACGGUCUCCAUUCCAGGAUGCAACUCCAAAUUCAUUAAACAUGACGUAUUUAA